GUGUGGUUUUAAUUCGAUGAUACGCGAAGAACCUUACCUGGUCUUGACAUGCACGUGGUACUGAUUCGAAAGAUGAGGGACCCUUCGGGGAGCGUGCACAGGUGUUGCACGGCCGUCGUCGAGCCUCGUGCCGUGAGGUCGUUGGGUUAAGUCUCGCAACGAGCGCAACCCCCGUCGCCGAGUUGUAUUUUUCUGGCGAGACUGCCGGGAAAUCCCGGAGGAAGGAGGGGAUGAUGUCAGGUCAGCGUCGGCCCUUACGACCAGGGCUACACACACGCUACAAUGGGUGGUACAGAGGGUCGCGAAAGCCGCGAGGUGGAGCUAAUCCCAACAAAGCCAUCCUCAGUUCGGAUUGCAGGCUGAAACUCGCCUGCAUGAAGCCGGAGUUGCUAGUAACCGCAGGUCAGCACUACUGCGGUGAAUACGUUCCCGGGCCUU
rnacentral:rRNA from 1 species